rnacentral:lncRNA from 1 species
ACGCUGCACCUUUUAAAUCUGCUGUUGUGAUUGUGUUUCUAAUCCAGGACAGGUUUCCUGCAGUCAUGGUCAAAUGUUUGGAUCAGUGGUGGAGGUCACAGUCAAACCAGGAGACAACUUCACUCUCUACUGUGACUGCAAAGUGGCAACUGGAGUUUACAUAGUGUGGUUCAGGAACAGCUACAAUGAGAACAAGCCCACUCUCAUUAUGAAAACAUUUCAACGAAAGAACUACAACCCUGAUGGUACCAAUUAUCUCAUGUCCAUCUUAAAUUUUCACUUUGUGAGGAAUUCUUCUUCGAAUUCCUAUGACCUGCUGAUUAAGGACUUCACUGAUUCUAAUGAGGGUCUGUACUACUGCGGAACAGAAGAGAGCAAGGUGGAGGACGAAGAAUACAUAACCCAAAAAUUGAUUUACAAUUACGGCAAUAUUACAAGACUCAUAUGUAACUCCAGCCUUCAGGUUCCACAUGACGAGAGGCAACAAGGCUGUGGUUCCUGCUGGACGCUGCUGUUUGCUCUGUGUCCCGUAUUUGCCAUUUUCUCCUGUCUUCUCACCUCACUAGUGGUUUAUUACCGAUGUCAGAACAAAGGUAUCAACUUUAGGUUGAAUCUAACACUGUACAUGUAA